rnacentral:rRNA from 1 species
UACGUAGGUGGCAAGCGUUGUCCGGAUUCAUUGGGCGUAAAGGGUGCGUAGGCGGCGCGGUAAGUCGGGUGUGAAAUCUUGGAGCUUAACUCCGAAACUGCAUUCGAUACUGCCGUGCUUGAGGACUGGAGAGGAGACUGGAAUUUACGGUGUAGCGGUGAAAUGCGUAGAUAUCGUAAGGAAGACCAGUGGCGAAGGCGGGUCUCUGGACAGUUCCUGACGCUGAGGCACGAAGGCCAGGGGAGCAAACGGG